rnacentral:rRNA from 1 species
GCAGCAGCCGCGGGAAUACGGAGGGUGCAAGCGUUAAUCGGAAUUACUGGGCGUAAAGCGCACGCAGGCGGUCUGACAAGUCAGAUGUGAAAUCCCCGGGCUUAACCUGGGAACUGCAUUUGAAACUGUCAGGCUGGAGUCUUGUAGAGGGGGGUGGAAUUCCAGGUGUAGCGGUGAAAUGCGUAGAGAUCUGGAGGAAUACCGGUGGCGAAGGCGGCCCCCUGGACAAAGACUGACGCUCAGGUGCGAAAGCGUGGGGAGCAAACAGGAUUAGAUACCCCGGUAGUCCCUGUCUCUUAUAC